rnacentral:ncRNA from 1 species
CAUUAUCUCUCGGGGAGCGAAAGCUGAGACGAUUUAAUUGGACCCGUUGAACCUGCACAAGAUAAUGCUUUCAAAGAAAAGAGAAAUACCUGUUUU